rnacentral:rRNA from 7 species
GGGUUGUGAGGUUAAGUGACUAAGCGUACACGGUGGAUGCCUAGGCAGUCAGAGGCGAUGAAGGGCGUGCUAAUCUGCGAAAAGCGUCGGUAAGGUGAUAUGAACCG